AUACGGUGGGUGCAAGCGUUACUCGGAAUCACUGGGCGUAAAGCGCGCGCAGGCGGCUAUUUAAGUUGGAUGUGAAAGCCUACGGCUCAACCAUAGAACUGCAUCCAAAACUAUUUAGCUAGAGUGUGGGAGAGGAAGAUGGAAUUAGUUGUGUAGGGGUAAAAUCCGUAGAGAUAACUAGGAAUACCAAAAGCGAAGGCAAUCUUCUGGAACACUACUGACGCUGAGGCGCGAAAGCGUGGGGAGCAAACAGGAUUAGAAACCCUAUAGUCC
rnacentral:rRNA from 1 species